CCAGCUUGACUGCGAGGGGGACACCCCGAGCAGGUACGAAAGUAGGUCUUAGUGAUCCUCCGAUGCGUAAUGGAUACGCGCGGAGCUUAACGGAUAAAAGCUACCCCGGGGAUAACAGAGUAGUCGCACCCGAGAGUCCAUAUCGACGGUGCGGUUCGCUACCUCGAUGUCGGCUCAUCACAUCCUGGCGCUGGAGAAGGUGCCAAGGGUCGGUCUGUUCGCCCGUUAAAGUGAUACGCGAGCUGGGUUCAGAACGUCGUAAGACAGUUGACCUUCUUAACAUUUGAAGGUGACACCUAAGCUGUCUACUAUAUUGACGAUUUGAACUAUUUCUACUGUUUGUAGAAAAUUGUACUAAAAAGUACAUAUCGAAAGAGGUUUCUAUACUUUGUUAUACCUAUAGAUCUCAUAUCCAGUAUGAGAAUAAAUUUGGCUAUAUGCUGGGAACACUCAGAAUCUGACAGUACCUUAAACGGUAAUAAUCUGAUCAGUGGAGUCAAUCAGCAGGAAAGAUCCGCCUCAUCGGCGGAAAUCCUCACAGACUAUACGCCAAAGUCGCCUCAUCGGCGACAAGAUAUAGUCGGAUCCUUGUAGCGAUAUAAGGCACUAAUUUAAUUAGUCGUAUUAACGAAUUCUUUAUAGAGUCGUUAAUAUUUGUAACAAUAAUGUCGGACUCUAUCCGGUGGAAGCGUAAGAAUCUUGAGGAGAGCUGGGGACAGUAAAAAUUGCUGCCAUGUACAGUAAUGUGCGUGGUCACACUAGCUAAAAUCGGUGAAAUCCUGUAUUAUCUUAAUAUAGAUGGUCCUAUCUAAAUACAGGACAAUACCGAGGGAAGGUUAUUUUAAAUGACUAAACUAGAAGCUGCAUAUAUCUCAGGUUUCUUUGAUGGUGACGGAAGUGUCAGGUUGCAACUGCAACCUAGACAAAAUUCCAAAUUAGGUUUUCGAAUAAGAACAAUAAUUUCAUUUGCUCAAAAAACCGGGCAUGAUGAACCGCUUAUUUGGAUUCAGAAAAAGUUGGGAAUUGGUUAUAUUUAUAAAAGACGUGAUUCAAUGACUGAGCUUAAAAUCGAAGGAUUUGAAUCUGUUAAAAAAAUACUUACCAUUCUCAAACCUUUCGCUCUUUUUAAAUUAAAACAAGUUCAGCUUAUGUUGGAUGCGUUUGAAAUUAUUAAGAGAAAACCAAUCGACCUUUUGGCAAUAGCCAAAGUGUCGGAUAAAAUUUCGGAAUUAAAUUAUGUCACUACCAAGAAACGGUAUACCGCAGAGUUUGUAAAAAAUCAUUUAGAAAAUACCCCCGUAACGACUGAGCCAAACCCGAAAGGGUGAGGCGAGAUGGACAAGUUGUCCAUAAUAACGCUAGCCCCCAUUAGAUAAUUUCAUAUCUAACGGGGUGAAGGUAUAGUCUAAUCCCUUUAGUAAUAAAGGAUCGAUUGACGAGAGGACCUCCCUGGGGGAAUCCCUGGUGUGCCGGUUAUUGCGUCAGCAGUAACGCCGGGUAGCUAUAUUCCCAACGGAUAACCGCUGAAAGCAUCUAAGUGGGAAGCCAACUCCAAGAUAAGGAUUCCAUGUGGACUAACCUCCACGAAAGACCCCCAGCAGAAUACUGGGUUAAUCGGCAGGCACUGGAAGGUCCGUAAGGACUUAAGGUUACCUGCGCGAAUCGGUCAAAUUUUUGCGAUC
rnacentral:rRNA from 1 species